rfam:Ricinus communis cultivar Hale ctg_1100012354275, whole genome shotgun sequence.
UACCCAUGGUGUGGGCAUUGUAGUAAAUGUGAUUCAAAGCAGUCCCAUGCUUUGAGAAAGGAUUCAAUAUCCUUUUGAUAAAAUUUGAAAAUUAGUCUUUUGAUGUG